rnacentral:rRNA from 1 species
AUGGAAAGUUUGCUGCAUUGAAACUUUGCACCGGGCUUUGCCCUUGCAAACCAAGUGAGAAGGAAAUUUGGUUCUACGGUUCAUUUCUCCCCCUCUCGAGACGCCAAAGAGUUCUUUUUGGUUGUUUCAUUCUCUUCGGCUUCGUUCCCUCUAUCGGUGGAAUCAGUUGGUAUUGCAUUACAAUGUUGCCUUGGAGGGAUCUCUUUUGGGUUCAAAGUGUUGUCGAUCACUUCACGUUCAUUUCGUUUUUGGUGGCCAAUAACAAAGUGGGACACUUUAUCUAUGGGCUCAAAGAUCGUGUUUGGCCAGACUUUGUUUGCCACUUUCAUUUGUUCAAUGGCCGUUUUGCCAAAGCUCUUGCUAUUGAUAAUUGUUGGCAUGCUGAUAAGGAGCUGA